AACACAUGCAAGUCUUUGGCGAAGCUGUGCUUGCACAGACGAGCCAAGGCGGACGGGUGAGUAACGCGUAAGGAACUUGCCCCGCAGACAGGGAUAACAGACGGAAACGACUGAUAAGACCUGGUGUUGUCAGGCUGACGCAUGUCAGGCUGAUGAAAGGAGACGCUGCGGGAGAGCCUUGCGUCCUAUUAGCUUGUUGGUGGGGUAACGGCCCACCAAGGCGAUGAUAGGUAGCCGGCCUGAGAGGGUGAACGGCCACAAGGGGACUGAGAUACGGCCCUUACUCCUACGGGAGGCAGCAGUGGGGAAUAUUGGACAAUGGGGGGAACCCUGAUCCAGCAAUUCUGUGUGCACGAAGAAGGUUUUCGGAUUGUAAAGUGCUUUCAGCAGGGAAGAAGCAAGUGACGGUACCUGCAGAAGAAGCGACGGCUAAAUACGUGCCAGCAGCCGCGGUAAUACGUAUGUCGCAAGCGUUAUCCGGAAUUAUUGGGCAUAAAGGGCAUCUAGGCGGCCCUGUAAGUCUAGGGUGAAAACCUGCGGCUCAACCGCAGGCCUGCCCCGGAAACUACAGGGCUGGAGUAUUGGAGAGGUGGACGGAACUGCACGAGUAGAGGUGAAAUUCGUAGAUAUGUGCAGGAAUGCCGAUGAUGAAGAUAGUUCACUGGACGAUAACUGACGCUGAAGUGCGAAAGCUGGGGGAGCGAACAGGAUUAGAUACCCUGGUAGUCCCAGCUGUAAACGAUGAUUACUGGGUGUGGGCAUGAAGAGUGUCCGUGCCGAAGC
rnacentral:rRNA from 1 species